GCCACAAAGUGUCGGGUAUGUGGUGGCUUGUUAUAAGGAACCAGAACACGGAUGUAUCAAGUCUCCCAGUUCCUGCCGCUGAAGAACAUCCCCACAGCAUGAUGCUGCCACCACGAUGCUUCACCAUAGGGAUGGUACGAGUUGGUGCACCUGUACUGGUUAACACUCGCAAGGCUGCAUCCCUAGCCGCUUCCAGAGAGCAUGCGCAGACCAGCUGGCUGGUGUGUUUACAGACGAUAUCAAUCUCUCCCUAUCCCAGUCUUGCUGUCCCCACAUGCUUCAAGAUGGCCACCAUUGUUUCUGUGCCCAAGAAUGCAAAGGUA
ensembl:lncRNA